GGUUAAGCGACUAAGCGUACACGGUGGAUGCCCUGGCAGUCAGAGGCGAUGAAGGGCGUGCUAAUCUGCGAUAAGCGCCGGUAAGGUGAUAUGAACCGUUAUAACCGGCGAUACCCGAAUGGGGAAACCCAGUGUGAUUCGUCACACUAUCAUUAACUGAAUCCAUAGGUUAAUGAGGCGAACCGGGGGAACUGAAACAUCUAAGUACCCCGAGGAAAAGAAAUCAACCGAGAUUCCCCCAGUAGCGGCGAGCGAACGGGGAGGAGCCCAGAGCCUGAAUCAGCAUGUGUGUUAGUGGAAGCGUCUGGAAAGGCGCGCGAUACAGGGUGACAGCCCCGUACACAAAAGCGCAUGUGUUGUGAGCUCGAUGAGUAGGGCGGGACACGUGGUAUCCUGUCUGAAUAUGGGGGGACCAUCCUCCAAGGCUAAAUACUCCUGACUGACCGAUAGUGAACCAGUACCGUGAGGGAAAGGCGAAAAGAACCCCGGCGAGGGGAGUGAAAAAGAACCUGAAACCGUGUACGUACAAGCAGUGGGAGCACCCUUUGGGGUGUGACUGCGUACCUUUUGUAUAAUGGGUCAGCGACUUAUAUUCUGUAGCAAGGUUAACCGAAUAGGGGAGCCGGAGGGAAACCGAGUCUUAACCGGGCGUUAAGUUGCAGGGUAUAGACCCGAAACCCGGUGAUCUAGCCAUGGGCAGGUUGAAGGUUGGGUAACACUAACUGGAGGACCGAACCGACUAAUGUUGAAAAAUUAGCGGAUGACCUGUGGCUGGGGGUGAAAGGCCAAUCAAACCGGGAGAUAGCUGGUUCUCCCCGAAAGCUAUUUAGGUAGCGCCUCGUGAAUUCAUCUCCGGGGGUAGAGCACUGUUUCGGCUAGGGGGCCAUCCCGGCUUACCAACCCGAUGCAAACUGCGAAUACCGGAGAAUGUUAUCACGGGAGACACACGGCGGGUGCUAACGUCCGUCGUGAAGAGGGAAACAACCCAGACCGCCAGCUAAGGUCCCAAAGUCAUGGUUAAGUGGGAAACGAUGUGGGAAGGCCCAGACAGCCAGGAUGUUGGCUUAGAAGCAGCCAUCAUUUAAAGAAAGCGUAAUAGCUCACUGGUCGAGUCGGCCUGCGCGGAAGAUGUAACGGGGCUAAACCAUGCACCGAAGCUGCGGCAGCGACACUGUGUGUUGUUGGGUAGGGGAGCGUUCUGUAAGCCUGUGAAGGUGUGUCGUGAGGCAUGCUGGAGGUAUCAGAAGUGCGAAUGCUGACAUAAGUAACGAUAAAGCGGGUGAAAAGCCCGCUCGCCGGAAGACCAAGGGUUCCUGUCCAACGUUAAUCGGGGCAGGGUGAGUCGACCCCUAAGGCGAGGCCGAAAGGCGUAGUCGAUGGGAAACGGGUUAAUAUUCCCGUACUUGGUGUUACUGCGAAGGGGGGACGGAGAAGGCUAUGUUGGCCGGGCGACGGUUGUCCCGGUUUAAGCGUGUAGGUGUGUGUUCCAGGUAAAUCCGGUUCACUUUAACACUGAGGCGUGAUGACGAGGCACUACGGUGCUGAAGCAACAAAUGCCCUGCUUCCAGGAAAAGCCUCUAAGCAUCAGGUAACAUCAAAUCGUACCCCAAACCGACACAGGUGGUCAGGUAGAGAAUACCAAGGCGCUUGAGAGAACUCGGGUGAAGGAACUAGGCAAAAUGGUGCCGUAACUUCGGGAGAAGGCACGCUGACACGUAGGUGAAGUGAUUUACUCACGGAGCUGAAGUCAGUCGAAGAUACCAGCUGGCUGCAACUGUUUAUUAAAAACACAGCACUGUGCAAACACGAAAGUGGACGUAUACGGUGUGACGCCUGCCCGGUGCCGGAAGGUUAAUUGAUGGGGUCAGCGCAAGCGAAGCUCCUGAUCGAAGCCCCGGUAAACGGCGGCCGUAACUAUAACGGUCCUAAGGUAGCGAAAUUCCUUGUCGGGUAAGUUCCGACCUGCACGAAUGGCGUAAUGAUGGCCAGGCUGUCUCCACCCGAGACUCAGUGAAAUUGAACUCGCUGUGAAGAUGCAGUGUACCCGCGGCAAGACGGAAAGACCCCGUGAACCUUUACUAUAGCUUGACACUGAACAUUGAGCCUUGAUGUGUAG
rnacentral:rRNA from 1 species